rnacentral:rRNA from 1 species
UCUACGGGAGGCAGCAGUGAGGAAUAUUGGUCAAUGGGCGCGAGCCUGAACCAGCCAAGUAGCGUGAAGGAUGACUGCCCUACGGGUUGUAAACUUCUUUUAUAAAGGAAUAAAGUGAGGCACGUGUGCCUCUUUGUAUGUACUUUAUGAAUAAGGAUAGGCUAAGUCCGUGCCAGCAGCCGCGUUAAUACGGAGGAUCCGAGUGUUAUCCGGAUUUCUUGGGUUUAAAGGGUGCGUAGGCGGAAUGCCAAGUCAGCGGUAAAAUCGCGGGGCUCAACCUCGAUCCGCCGUUGACACUGGCGUUAUUGAGUGGGCGAGAUGUAUGCGGAAUGCGGGGUGUAGCGGUGAAAUGCAUAGAGAUCACGCAGAACUCCGAUUGCGAAGGCAGCAUACCGGCGCCCAACUGACGCUGAAGCACGAAAGCGUGGGUAUCGAACAGGAUUAGAUACCCUGGUAGUC